UGGAGAGUUUGAUCCUGGCUCAGAACGAACGCUGGCGGCGUGCCUAACACAUGCAAGUCGAACGGUAACAGGACUUUGGUCGCUGACGAGUGGCGCACGGGUGAGUAACGCGUGGGUUACCUGCCCAUAAGUGGGGAACAACUUGGAGAAAUCCAAGCUAAUACCGCAUAAUACCUUCGGGUUAAAGAGGGGGAUCUUCGGACCUCUCGCUUAUGGAUGGUCCCGCGUCUGAUUAGCUAGUUGGUAGGGUAAUGGCCUACCAAGGCAAUGAUCAGUAGCUGGUCUGAGAGGAUGAUCAGUCACACUGGAACUGAGACACGGUCCAGACUCCUACGGGAGGCAGCAGUGGGGAAUUUUGCACAAUGGGCGAAAGCCUGAUGCAGCGACGCCGCGUGCGGGAAGAAGGCCUUCGGGUUGUAAACCGCUUUCAACAGGGAAGAAGGAAUGAGAGCUAAUACCUCUCUGCCUUGACGGUACCUGUAGAAGAAGCACCGGCUAAUUUCGUGCCAGCAGCCGCGGUAAUACGAAAGGUGCAAGCGUUGUUCGGAUUUACUGGGCGUAAAGAGAUCGUAGGUGGCUUGUUAAGUCGGAUGUGAAAUCCCGGGGCUCAACCCCGGAACUGCAUCCGAUACUGGCAGGCUUGAGUUUGGGAGGGGUAAGCGGAAUUCCGUGUGUAGCAGUGAAAUGCGUAGAUAUACGGAGGAACACCUGAGGCGAAGGCGGCUUACUGGACCAAUACUGACACUGAGGAUCGAAAGCGUGGGUAGCAAACAGGAUUAGAUACCCUGGUAGUCCACGCCCUAAACGAUGUCAACUAGCCGUUGCGGGUAUCGACCCCUGCAGUGGCGCAGCUAACGCGAUAAGUUGACCGCCUGGGGAGUACGGUCGCAAGAUUAAAACUCAAAGGAAUUGACGGGGGCCCGCACAAGCGGUGGAGCAUGU
rnacentral:rRNA from 1 species